CAGAAAGUAGUUUAAUUCAAAAUUCCAGCUUUGGGAGUUGGCGAUGAGGGUUUGAUUCCUUUCUUUCUGA
rnacentral:tRNA from 1 species